CUUGACAUCCAGCGAACUUGGCAGAGAUGCCUUGGUGCCUUCGGGAACGCUGAGACAGGUGCUGCAUGGCUGUCGUCAGCUCGUGUUGUGAAAUGUUGGGUUAACGUCCGCAACGAGCGCAACCCUUAUCCUUUGUUGCCAGCGAUUCGGUCGGGAACUCAAAGGAGACUGCCGGUGAUAAACCGGAGGAAGGUGGGGAUGACGUUAAGUCAUCAUGGCCCUUACGAGUAGGGCUACACACGUGCUACAAUGGCGCAUACAAAGAGAAGCGACCUCGCGAGAGCAAGCGGACCUCAUAAAGUGCGUCGUAGUCCGGAUCGGAGUCUGCAACUCGACUCCGUGAAGUCGGAAUCGCUAGUAAUCGUGGAUCAGAAUGCCACGGUGAAUACGUUCCCGGGCCUUGUACACACCGCCCGUCACACCAUGGGAGUGGGUUGCAAAAGAAGUAGGUAGCUUAACCUCCGGGAGGGCGCUUACCACUUUGUGAUUCAUGACUGGGGUGAAGUCGUAACAAGGUAGGCGUAGCGAG
rnacentral:rRNA from 1 species